AUGCAUGUAGCUGGAGUCAUCGCAGGCGACGUGGUGGAUCGACACGCCGACGGCGACCCCGCGCCCGGGGAACACGGUGACCUGGAAGGCGGCGAGCGUGAACCCGCCGUCCCCGCGCCCCUCGACCACCGGGAGCCGCGGCACGAGCGAGUAGAGCCGGGCGACGUCGCGGGGCCCGUCGCCGGAGAGCUCGUCAAAAUCAUCCUCGCUCUCGGCGACGGUGAGCUGGACGGAAUCGCCACCCCCUGCUCCCGCGGGCAAGAAGAACUCGUACCCGCCGCCGCCCGGGCAGGGGCGGACGCGGCCGAGGAGCGGGUAGAAGCCGCCCAGCGCGGCGGAGAGGGAGGCGACGAGGCGGGGCAGGAGGGCGGCCCGGAACCGCUCGGGCGGGUGCGGGUAGGGGUAGAAGAAGACGCGCUCCACGGGGCCGGUGAAGAUCCAGGGCACGUCGAAGAAGGUGAGCGGCAGCGCGCCCCCGCCCCCGCCGCCCUCCGCCGCGACGGCGAGCGUGUCGAGGACCCUGGUGGCCAUGGGCUCGAUUCGAGAUCCCUGCUCUUGUUGUUGCCGGCGGUGGUGGAGGGGGAGUGGGGGAAAGAUGGGAGCUUUAGCGAUCCAGAUCCACCAAACGCACGCACCUCACCGAACAAUCCAAAUUGUUGGUCGCUGGUAGUGGUUGGCAGAUGA
rnacentral:rRNA from 1 species